rnacentral:rRNA from 1 species
CCUACGGGAGACUGCAGUGAGGAAUAUUGGUCAAUGGCCGUAACGCUGAACCAGCGACGCCGCGUGAAGGAAGAAGGAUCUAUGGUUUGUAAACUUCAUUUAUAGGGGAAUAAAGGUAUCCACGUGAGGAUAUAUGCAUGUACCCUAUGAAUAAGCAUCCGCUAAAGCCGUGCCAGCAGCCGCGGUAAUACGGAGGAAGUGAGCGUUAUCCGGAUUUAGUGGGUUUAAAGGGUGCGUAGGUUGUUUUGUAAGUCUGCGGUGAAAGGUGGUGGCUCAACCAUAAGAUUGCCGUUGAAACUGGAAGACUGGAGUGUGUGUGAGGUAGGCGGAAUGCGUGGUGUAGCGGUGAAAUGCAUAGAUAUCACGCAGAACUCCGAUUGCGAAGGCAGCUUACUAGGCCAUAACUGACACUGAGGCACGAAAGCGUGGGGAUCAAACAGGAUUAGAUAUCCGAGUAGUC